CCGCCCCUCUCUGCCAAACGCUUCCCAGUUGAUCACGUGUUCUGAUAUGUACGGUUCUUAAAGGUUGGAUGGUUUGGUUUGGGCCGUUUGGACGGUUUGGUUUGGACGUCCCUCUGUCUGCGGCAAAUAUUUGGUCGUUUUGGUCGAGGUUAAUGCAAUGAUGGAAACACAAGUCACAGAUUUCACAUCACGUACUGUACAGUGUGGUGAGCUGAAUGAGUCAUCUUUAUGAAUUGUCAUUAAUGUUAUCACUCAUUAGCUGCAGGGAACAACUGUGUUAAUGAGCCUUCAUUGCUGCUACACAGGAUAAAAUAUAUAUGUAAAAAACAUUCGGAAAUUUUUGAUUCAGGGGCAAAACCAGUGUUGAUGAACCCUACAAUUCUCCCACUCAGGGUAAUACAAUCCUCAAAAAAUAAAUCCAGUGAUUUCACGUCAGGUAAUGUACAGUGUUGUAUGUAGAACAAGACAUUGUAAGCUGUCAUGAUUGAUGUGUCCUUUUAUUCUUACAGGGAACAUCAGUGUUAGUGAGACUUCACUUCUCCCAGCCAGGUUAACACAUUGUUGGAAGCAUGAAUUUGGAGAUUUUGCAUCAGGCAUGUAGCCAGAGGGAUGAGUUUCGGCUCCUGUUCUGGAACCUGGACGUUGUACGAUCUGAGGGAGGUGGCCAACUGAAGAAGGAAAACAUGGUCACACAGACACCGGAAAGAAUGGUCACCCUCAGUUUGUGACACCCAGUAUAGCUGCAACUGCUGAUGAAGGCAGAACGUCAUU